GCCCUCUCAAGGUCGCGUCGCAUCUGGAGAGUUUCUAGUACUCUACCAGUCUCGGCUAUGGGAGGGAGAGUCAAGCAGAGGCCUACCUAUUUCAUUCCUAGUUUGGGCAGUGGCUAGAGAGUGGAAAGCAAUCUGUUACAAGU